CAGACAGCGGUAAGUUUUGCUGAGCACUUCCUAACUUCAUAAAGAAUUCCGCAAGAAAAACUUGCAACAACUUCAGUUUGUCGUUUAAACAAACGUCGCAUCGACUCGAUGCUUCUGCGCUACAGUAGGUUAUGCUAGGCUAUGCGAUGCAUCUGACACCGAGAUCUGUCUUGUUUUAGCUCAACGACUAUAGCUUGAAGGGAGAGUGGACAAGAACAAUGCACGUUGCUCAAAAACGCUGUGGAGACCCAAGCAACCAAUGUGCAUAUGCAGAGGUGGCAGAUGAGAUUUCGGCAUAGACAAAACGUAUCGCUUCCGAGGUCGUUUGGCUUCCCUUGGGGUAGAUAGUGCUGGUCGUGUCAACGUGACUGGCUGUGUCGUGGUGAUUGGAGGUAGUGUUUGUCCAUCAUGAGAAACCUUCAAGCUGUGAUGAUCAUUGAAUGUAACAGGACAGCUUCAAGAACUUGCUAAUUGUUGACUGAUGUAGAACUCUUCACAUGUAUUUUCAACACGAGAGUGGGAAACCUUCAAUCAAUGACUUUUCUACUCUCUCUCCCUUUACAUAUAUCUCAAAUAUCUGCAGGCUCAUGAUGUGUGGUAGCGGGGCGAGUUGCUGUCCUACAAUGCCUUGGAGAUGACCACAGAGAAGUUGGUUUACAAUGUGAGGUUCCUGAUUUGGAAUCUGGUUCGGAAGACUCUUACUUUGUUCUCCGACCGGACAGUGUCCCUCAAGUUCGAUUUGGAUAGGCCACAGUUUCCCAAGACUUCAUCUUUAUACCUCAACAUUAUUGUCUGCUGUCUUUGACAUCACUCGUACUUUAGAUUCUCUACACUGACCACCACAAGAAUUAAGAUUUGAUAAAUUUAACACUGAAAUGUAAUCUUAACUUUAAGUUGAAUGUUAUGAUGGCUGCCUGGCAGAUGCCUCCUGUAUGAACAAUAUUUGUUAAAUUUGUGUCUUGUGGUGCCCCCAAACUGUCUGUAAUUGUUUGGUGCCCAUGGACACUGUGGCACUAGCCCUUAUGCCACCUUAUUAGGUGAGCCAUCUUUAUUAUCACAGAGGACCCUCUCACCCCCUCCAUCAAC